rnacentral:rRNA from 1 species
UGACGGUACCUACAGAAGAAGCACCGGCUAACUAUGUGCCAGCAGCCGCGGUAAUACAUAGGGUGCAAGCGUUGUCCGGAAUUAUUGGGCGUAAAGAGCUCGUAGGUGGUUUGAUACGUCGGGUGUGAAAUUCAGGGGCUCAACCCCUGACCUGCAUUCGAUACGGUCAAGCUAGAGUUUGGUAGGGGAGACUGGAAUUCCUGGUGUAGCGGUGGAAUGCGCAGAUAUCAGGAGGAACACCAAUGGCGAAGGCAGGUCUCUGGGCCAAUACUGACACUGAGGAGCGAAAGUCUGGGGAGCGAACAGGAUUAGAUACCCUGGUAGUCCAGACCGUAAACGGUGGGCACUAGUUGUGGGAACCUUCCACGGUUUCUGCGACGCAGCUAACGCAUUAAGUGCCCCGCCUGGGGAGUACGAUCGCAAGAUUAAAACUCAAAGGAAUUGACGGGGCCCCGCACAAGCAGCGGAGCAUGCGGCUUAAUUCGACGCAACGCGAAGAACCUUACCAAGGCUUGACAUAUAGGGGAAAAGUGGCAGAGAUGUCAUGUCCGCAAGGGCUCUAUACAGGUGGGUGCAUGGUUGUCGUCAGC